GGCCAUAAAAGGGAGGAGCAGGCGCGCAAUUACCCACUCCUGACACAGGGAGGUAGUGACAAGGAAUAGCAAUGCAGGUGGCAAUUGCCAUUGUGCUAUUGGAAUGAGUGGACUUUAAAUCCCUUUUCGACUAUCGAUUGGAGGGCAAGUCUGGUGCCAGCAGCCGCGGUAAUUCCAGCUCCAGUAGCGUAUAUUAAAGUUGUUGCGGUUGAAAAGCUCGUAGAUGGGUUUCUGCGGAGGAAGCGCGGUCCGCACUUGGUGCGUGUAUCUGGUCUACCUACGCAUCUUCCAGUGAAACGCUACUGCGCUUUAUUGCGUGGCGCGGCAAUCUGGACUUUUACUUUGAGGAAAUUGGAGUGUUUACAGCGAGCGAUUGGUUUGAACAUAUUAGCAUGGAAUAAUAACCUAGAACCUUGGUUCUAUUUUGUUGGUUUCUAGACUAGGGUAAUGAUCAAUAGGGAUAAUUGGGGGCAUUUGUAUCAACACGUCAGAGGUGAAAUUCUUGGAUUGUGUUACGACGAACCACUGCGAAAGCAUUUGCCAAGGAUGUUUUCAUUGAUCAAGAACGAAAGUGCAGGGAUCGAAGACGAUUAGAUACCGUCGUAGUCUGCACCGUAAACUAUGCCGAUUAAAGAUUGGAGGUCGUUCUUAUUGUGGCUCCUUCAGUAAUUUAUGAGAAAUCAAAAUUCUUGGGUUCCGGGGGGAGUAUGGUCGCAAGGCUGAAACUUAAAGGAAUUGACGGAAGGGCACCACCAGGAGUGGAGCCUGCGGCUUAAUUUGACUCAACACGGGGAAACUCACCAGGUCCAGACAUAGCAAGGAUUGACAGAAUGACAGCUCUUUCUUGAUUCUGUGGGUGGUGGUGCAUGGCCGUUCUUAGUUGGUGGAGUGAUUUGUCUGGUUAAUUCCGUUAACGAACGAGAUCUUAUCCUGCUAAAUAGGAACGUGUGUCUUCGGACAUGCAGGUUGCUUCUUAGAGGGACUUUGCGAAUUGAAGCGUAGGGAAGGUUGAGGCAAUAACAGGUCUGUGAUGCCCUUAGAUGUUCUGGGCUGCACGCGCGCUACACUGAUGCGUUCAACGAGUAUGCCUUGUCCGGCAGGACUGGGGAAUCUUGUGAAAGCGCGUCGUGAUGGGGAUAGAACACUGUAAUUAUUGUUCUUCAACGAGGAAUUCCUAGUAAGCGCGAGUCAUCAGUUCGUGUUGAUUACGUCCCUGCCCUUUGUACACACCGCCCGUCGCUCCUACCGAUGGAGUGGUCCGGUGAAUAAUUCGGAUCGAGAUCUGAAGCUCACGCUUCAAUCUCGAAAAGUUUAGGAACCUUAUCACUAGGGG
rnacentral:rRNA from 1 species